GUAAAUUCCCCUCAGUCCCGCACAGGAGUACACAACGAAAACUCAUUUGGAGGUAUCGAUCCUCGCCCAAACUGCGCCCCAUACUCUGCAAAGAGAGACAAUCACGACAGAUACGCUUUUGCAGGCACGAUUGCAUCUCUGUAUCAGCUCACGUCGCGCACUCAUGCCAAGCAAUUUUGAGACGACUAACCGACGACGAGUGAGGGGGGGGACACAAAAGCCGAAAACAUCAACAGCCAAGCCUCAAAGAUGGUACUUUUAUAAGCUGCACUCGACAAAGCACUCCCGUAUACUGGAAGCAGCGACUAACGAUCAUGGCAGUUAUUUCAGCCGAUUCUCAUUCACCGCAAUCCCAAUGCUGAGCUGAUUUGGCAGAUGCACCCUAUGGUUACUGUGAAGGGGGGGGAAGACUGCAUAGCACCACCUCCGUGUCGCCACUGGAUUUCUGCGUACCUCUUGCAACGUCAAGCGCUCCCUAGAGGUGCCCUCCAUGACUCGGAAAGGGCUCAAUCGCCUCAUUCUUUAUUUGCUCGUAAAAGUAUGGGAGGUGGGGCCUGCUGUGCAUUCAUUCCCAGGGCACCUGCGUCACACUGGCUGAAGUCUCCGUUACGGUAUCGCAUCGCUAUUUUUCUUCGCCCGCAGCGAGGCGCGGCCAGCCUGUCGCCACAAGAGCGGGCGGGAAACCAACGACGUGCAGCAUUUGCUCAGCGAACGGCUUCAUUUCCAUAGGGCUGGAGGAUCACCAUCACUCUCAAUUUUCACGAAACUCGUGAAAAACAACAAAUCGAACAGAUUAUCAUAGGUGCUUUACAAACGAGUGCAAAAUCACUGGAACAACAAAAGUGCAAGGUGUGCUCAAUCAUUCCAAACCACCGGGAUCCUUUCCAGGAUCUCUGCGCGUGAACGUGUUCAAACUCGACGCCGCAAAGUGUACGCGACAGACCCUGCACUGCCGCGAGAAACACAAACAAAUGAGACCUGCCUACUUGACUGUGGGCGAGUUGAUCAGCCGCUGGUGCAUGCACUCAACCACUUGCAUAAUUGGACCUUCUUGUACUGCUUUCUUUCGCCGCAUCAG
rnacentral:misc_RNA from 1 species